rnacentral:rRNA from 1 species
GCUUGCUCCCGGAUGUUAGCGGCGGACGGGUGAGUAACACGUGGGUAACCUGCCUGUAAGACUGGGAUAACUCCGGGAAACCGGAGCUAAUACCGGAUAGUUCCUUGAACCGCAUGGUUCAAGGAUGAAAGACGGUUUCGGCUGUCACUUACAGAUGGACCCGCGGCGCAUUAGCUAGUUGGUGAGGUAACGGCUCACCAAGGCGACGAUGCGUAGCCGACCUGAGAGGGUGAUCGGCCACACUGGGACUGAGACACGGCCCACACUCCUACGGGAGGCAGCAGUAGGGAAUCUUCCGCAAUGGACGAAAGUCUGACGGAUCAACGCCGCGUGAGUGAUGAAGGUUUUCGGAUCGUAAAGCUCUGUUGUUAGGGAAGAACAAGUGCCAGAGUAACUGCUUGCACCUUGACGGUACCUAACCAGAAAGCCACGGCUAACUACGUGCCAGCAAUCGCGGUAAAAACAUACG